rnacentral:siRNA from 1 species
CUGAAUGCCCUAUUAGUAGGCCCA